rnacentral:tRNA from 1 species
AGUGGAUUGGCAGACUAGUGCAUUAAGUUUAGAAUUUAAUUAAGUAUUUUAUACAUUCAUUA